CUAUAUAAGUACUGAGCGCCGUCAUUCCAGACAACCUGGACACCAGUCUGCUCAGUAGCCCCAUACACCUCUAUGUUAUGUGGACACACACGUGAUUGAAAACCGAGUGAGGCGGUGACUUAUUGAGCUAGCACUUGGGUCGGGGUCAAUGUUUUCCAAUGAUUCACCGCCUCACUCGGUUUUGUGUCGUGUGCGUCCACAUAACAGAGACACUUCAGGCAAAGUUAACUGUUUAUAAAAAACACAGCAGCAUAUGUUAUUGAGCAUUUGGCUCACACUACAGACAUGCCCACAGCGUCUGGCAGCUGGGAGGAGACAUCCAUCCAUACCUUGAGGCAUGGAUUACUGGGAUUCUUCAUUGAUUUGAAAGACCCACGGAUCAGGAUCAGUUGUCGUGGACCUCCGCUUCGCAAAGCCAACAUCGUGACUCGCGGCAGCUGCCACCGGGAAGCCCUGCGGAUCUCCGCGUGUCCCCACCUCCCCCUCUCCUCCGCCGAAUUGUUUAAGCAUAUUGUAACAGUAUCACUGUUUAGUGGUGUACUAGUGAGUUGAGAGUCAUGGGUGAAUGAACAUCACACGGACAGGGAAUAACGAUUCUAACUCCUUUAAAACAUAUACCUCCGCAAUUACAUUCCAUUAGUCCCAAAAAUAAAAUAAACAGUUCCACUCCAUAUCACUGCACAAAUAAAUCACAUUACAUACUUCUCUCUCUUCAAAUGUAAUGUCUACAUUUAAAAUAAAAAUCAGAAAAAGCUACUCUGAAAAAUACAUCAGUUUACAAUAUCACUACGCGGAGGAAAAGAAACUAUGUCGGAGUCCCAUGAUUUUUUUACUUGGCUGUGUCUAAACCUGCCUUGCCUUUAAGAGUGUUCCUGCCCUUCUGACUUGAUCUGAAUGUUUGGACUCAAGCAAAUAAAUCACUGUUAGUAGCAUGCAUGAUUAUUGCUGCAGCAAUAAUAGAGUUUUGGAGGUAAUGUAUACGAAUGUAAAGAUUGGAUUGACAGGGAUGGAAGUGCACGGUAAUGGUAAUACAUGAUGUGAAGAUGUCUUUUUCACAAAAAUCUGGGGGAAAACGCAUAGAAACUAGUAAAGCUUAUUGAGAAGGACUCUGAGAGCAAGACAAAGAUUGGCUUAAAUGGAUAAAUAAAAUAGGGUUAUGGUUGUGGCGGCACGGUGGGCGACUGGUUAGAGCGUCUGCCUCACAGUUCUGAGGACUGGGGUUCAAUCCCAGUGUGGAGUUUGCAUGUUCUCCCCGUGCCUGCGUGGGUUUUCUCCGGGCACUCCGGUUUCCUCCCACAUCCCAAAAACAUGCGUGGUAGGUUGAUUGAAGACUCUAAAUUGCCCGUAGGUGUGAAUGUGAGUGUGAAUGGUUCUUUGUUUAUGUGUGCCCUGCGAUUGGAUGGCAACCAGUUCA